CUCGGCUAGCUUUUGGUAGUAGAGGUGACGUCUCUAACACCGACUGCAACGGUGCUACGUGCGAGCGUGAAAGCACACACAGGAUUGGCAAAAUAUAGAAACACUUUGAAAAAUGCUGGCGUUCGAAAAUAUCAGACAUUCUUUCUGGAAGGAAGAUAGAGUGACACGAAGAGAAGCUGCUUCCUAAUCAGGUGCCGCCUGUACGCAAGCAGAGUAAUCUAAUUUGCAAAUCACCAGGUGAUCUGGAAAUAAAUGAUGGAUCGCUUUGCGGACGGGCGAGGGGAGAGGACGACUCGUUAGUGCUGAUGCUAAGCGAGGAGCACUCUGCCGCGGUUGCUUUCUUACUUAACUCUCUGCCUUCACUGAGGACCGCUCCGCUCGGGGGGGGGGGGGGG
ensembl:lncRNA